rnacentral:rRNA from 1 species
UACAGAGGGUGCUAGCGUUGUUCGGAAUCAUUGGGCGUAAAGGGCGUGUAGGCGGUUUGUUAAGUCAUGUGUGAAAUCCCUCGGCUCAACCGGGGAACGACGCAUGAAACUGGCAAGCUAGAGUACCAAAGAGGGGGGUGGAAUUCCCGGUGUAGCGGUGAAAUGCGUAGAUAUCAGGAAGAACACUCGUGGCGAAGGCGGCUCUCUGGGACGGUACUGACGCUGAGACGCGAAAGCGUGGGGAGCGAACAGG